AGAGUUUGAUCCUGGCUCAGGACGAACGCUUGCGGCGUGCCUAAGAAAUGCAAGUCGAGCGGGGGAGCAAUCCCUAGCGGCGAACGGUCGCGUAACACGUAGGCAACCUGCCCGAAAGACCGGGACAACACUUCGAAAGGGGUGCUAAUACCGGAUGUGCCCGCCUUCCUGCAUGGGAGGGUGAGUAAAUCCCGCAAGGGGCUUUUGGAGGGGCCUGCGGCCUAUCAGCUAGAUGGUGGGGUGAUGGCCUACCAUGGCGACGACGGGUAGCUGGUCUGAGAGGAUGGUCAGCCGGACUGGGACUGAGAUACGGCCCAGACUCCUACGGGGGGCAGCAAUUAGGAAUCUUGCGCAAUGGGGGCAACCCUGACGCAGCGACGCCGCGUGGAGGAGGAAGGCCUUCGGGUUGUAAACUCCUUUUAGGGAGGAAGAAACAAAUGACGGUACUUCCUGAAUAAGCCCCGGCUAACUCCGUGCCAGCAGCCGCGGUAAUACGGAGGGGGCGAGCGUUGUCCGAAGUUACUGGGCGUAAAGCGCGCGUAGGCGGGUCGAUAAGUCCGCUGUGAAAGCCCGGGGCUCAACCCCGGAGGGUCGGUGGAUACUAUCGGUCUUGAAGUUGCUAGGGGGAGAUGGAAUUACCGGUGUAGCGGUGAAAUGCGUAGAUAUCGGUAGGAACACCAGUGGCGAAGGCGGUCUCCUGGGGCAAUCUUGACGCUGAGGCGCGAAAGCUGGGGAGCGAACGGGAUUAGAUACCCCGGUAGUCCCAGCCCUAAACGAUGGAUACUAGGUGUCAGGGGUAUCGACCCCCCUGGUGCCGCAGCUAACGCAGUAAGUAUCCCGCCUGGGGAGUACGGCCGCAAGGUUGAAACUCAAAGGAAUCGACGGGGGCCCGCACAAGCGGUGGAGCAUGUUGUUUAAUACGUCACUAACCGUAGAACCUUACCAGGGUUUGACAUCCGCUGCACCGGUGUGAAAGCAUCGUCUGGAGCAAUCCAGCGGCGAGACAGGUGUUGCAUGGCUGUCGUCAGCUCGUGUCGUGAGAUGUUGGGUUAGGUCCCGCAACGAGCGCAACCCUCAUCCCAUGUUGCCAUCGGGUGAAGCCGGGCACUCUUGGGAAACUGCCGGGGUAACUCGGAGGAAGGUGAGGACGACGUCAAGUCAGCAAGGCCCUUACACCCUGGGCUACAAACAUGCUACAAUGGACGGUAGACAGAGGGAUCCGAGGCCGCGAGGUGGAGGCAAUCUCAAAAAUCCGUUCUCAGUUCGGAUCGCAGGCUGCAACUCGCCUGCGUGAAGCCGGAAUCGCUAGUAACCGCAGGUCAGCUAAACUGCGGUGAAUACGUUCCCGGGCCUUGUACACACCGCCCGUCACGUCACUUGAGUUGUCUGCACCCGAAGUCGGUGGGGUAACCGCAAGGAGCCAGCCGCCGAAGGUGUGGGGAGCGAGAGGGACGAAGUCGAAACAAGGUA
rnacentral:rRNA from 1 species